UACGAAGGGGCUAGCGUUGCUCGGAAUUACUGGGCGUAAAGGGAGCGUAGGCGGACUGUUAAGUUAGAGGUGAAAGCCCAGGGCUCAACCUUGGAAUUGCCUUUGAUACUGGCAGUCUUGAGUACGGAAGAGGUAUGUGGAACUCCGAGUGUAGAGGUGAAAUUCGUAGAUAUUCGGAAGAACACCAGUGGCGAAGGCGACAUACUGGUCCGUUACUGACGCUGAGGCUCGAAAGCGUGGGGAGCAAACAGG
rnacentral:rRNA from 1 species